rnacentral:rRNA from 1 species
CGCGUAGGCGGUCUCUUAAGUCAGGUGUGAAAGCCCGGGGCUCAACCCUGGAAGUGCACUUGAAACUAAGGGACUUGAGUAUGGGAGAGGGAAGUGGAAUUCCUGGUGUAGCGGUGAAAUGCGUAGAUAUCAGGAGGAACACCGGUGGCGAAGGCGACUUCCUGGACCAAUACUGACGCUGAGGCGCGAAGGCGUGGGGAGCAAACA